rnacentral:rRNA from 1 species
UACGUAGGUGUCGAGCGUUGUCCGGAUUUAUUGGGCGUAAAGCGCCCGCAGGCGGCUUGGCAAGUUUGAGGUGAAAUCUCCCGGCUCAACUGGGAGGGUGCGCCGGAUACUGAGGGGCUAGAGUGCGGGAAGGGAAAGUGGAAUUCCUGGUGUAGCGGUGAAAUGCGUAGAUAUCAGGAGGAACACCGGUGGUGCAAACGGCUUUCUGGACCGUAACUGACGCUGAGACACGAAAGCGUGGGGAGCAAACAGG